rnacentral:rRNA from 1 species
GUGGGGAAUAUUGCACAAUGGGCGAAAGCCUGAUGCAGCAACGCCGCGUGAAGGAUGAAGGCCUUUGGGUCGUAAACUUCUGUUCUUGGGGAAGAAAAAAAUGACGGUACCCCUGGAGGAAGUCCCGGCUAACUACGUGCCAGCAGCCGCGGUAAUACGUAGGGGGCGAGCGUUAUCCGGACUUAUUGGGCGUAAAGAGUACGUAGGUGGUUUUUUAAGCGCAGGGUUUAAGGCGAUGGCUCAACUGUCGUUCGCCCUGUGAACUGGAAGACUUGAGUACAGGAGAGGAAAGCGGAAUUCCUAGUGUAGCGGUGAAAUGCAUAGAUAUUAGGAGGAACACCAGUGGCGAAGGCGGCUUUCUGGACUGUAACUGACACUGAGGUACGAAAGCGUGGUGAGCAAACAGGAUUAGAAACCCUUGUAGUCC